rnacentral:rRNA from 1 species
CCUACGGGAGGCAGCAGUGGGGAAUUUUGGACAAUGGGGGCAACCCUGAUCCAGCCAUUCCGCGUGAGUGAAGAAGGCCUUCGGGUUGUAAAGCUCUUUCGCAAGGGAAGAAAACUUAUGAUCGAAUAAAUCAUGAGGUUGACGGUACCUUGAUAAGAAGCACCGGCUAACUACGUGCCAGCAGCCGCGGUAAUACGUAGGGUGCGAGCGUUAAUCGGAAUUACUGGGCGUAAAGCGUGCGCAGGCGGUUUUGUAAGUCGGAUGUGAAAUCCCCGGGCUCAACCUGGGAACUGCGUUCGAAACUGCAAGGCUAGAGUGUGUCAGAGGGGGGUAGAAUUCCACGUGUAGCAGUGAAAUGCGUAGAGAUGUGGAGGAAUACCAAUGGCGAAGGCAGCCCCCUGGGAUAACACUGACGCUCAUGCACGAAAGCGUGGGGAGCAAACAGGAUUAGAUACCCUGGUAGUCCACGCCCUAAACGAUGUCAACUAGUUGUUGGUAGAGUAAAAUCUAUGAGUAACGUAGCUAACGCGUGAAGUUGACCGCCUGGGGAGUACGGUCGCAAGGAUUAAAACUUCAAAGUGUUAAUUGACGGCGNGAGAGCGACGACGACGACGACGGAGGAGGAGG